rnacentral:misc_RNA from 1 species
UUUCCGUAGGUGAACCUGCGGAAGGAUCAUUCAUAAUAAGUGUUUUAUGGCACUUUUUUAAAUCCAUAUCCACCUUGUGUGCAAUGUCAGGGUUGAUUUUUCUCUCGAGAGGAUCAACCCCAAACAUCAACUAUAUCUCAACUCUUUGUCUGAAAAAUAUUAUGAAUAAAACAAUUCAAAAUACGACUUUCAACAACGGAUCUCUUGGCUCUC